GAUGAAGAACGUAGCGAAAUGCGAUACGUAAUGUGAAUUGCAGAAUUCAGUGAAUCAUCGAAUCUUUGAACGCAUAUUGCGCUCUCUGGUAUUCCGGAGAGCAUGCUUGUUUGAGUAUCAGUAAACACCUCAACUUCCAUAUCUUUUUUGAAAUGGGAGUUGUACUUGAGUGAUCCCAACGCUUUUCCUCACCGAAAAGUGGCGGGUUACUUGAAAUGCAGGUGCAGCUGGACUUUUCUCUGAGCUAUAAGCAUAUCUAUUUAGUCUGCCUAAAAAACAGAUUAUUACCUUUGCUGCAGCUAACAUAAAGGAGAUUAGUUCUUGUGCUGACUGAUGCAGGAUUCACAAAGACGGCUUCGGCCGACUUUGUAAACUCGAUCUCAAAUCAAGUAAGACUACCCGCUGAACUUAAGCAUAUCAAUAAGCGGAGGA
rnacentral:misc_RNA from 1 species